rnacentral:tRNA from 1 species
GGGGUUGUGGCUCAAUGGUAGAGCACUCGCCUCACACAUGUGAGACUGUGGGUUCAAUCCUCAGCACCA